rnacentral:rRNA from 1 species
GACGAACGCUGGCGGCGUGCUUAACACAUGCAAGUCGAGCGGUAAGGCCCUUUCGGGGGUACACGAGCGGCGAACGGGUGAGUAACACGUGAGCAAUCUGCCCUUCACUUGGGGAUAACCACCGGAAACGGUGGCUAAUACCGAAUACGACCGCCCCGGGCAUCCGGUGGUGGUGGAAAGUUCUGGCGGUGGAGGAUGAGCUCGCGGCCUAUCAGCUUGUUGGUGGGGUAAUGGCCUACCAAGGCGACGACGGGUAGCCGGCCUGAGAGGGUGACCGGCCACACUGGGACUGAGACACGGCCCAGACUCCUACGGGAGGCAGCAGUGGGGAAUAUUGGACAAUGGGCGAAAGCCUGAUCCAGCAACGCCGCGUGAGGGAUGACGGCCUUCGGGUUGUAAACCUCUUUCAGUAGGGACGAAGCGUAAGUGACGGUACCUACAGAAGAAGCACCGGCCAACUACGUGCCAGCCGCCGCGGUAA